UACGUAGGGUGCAAGCGUUAAUCGGAAUUACUGGGCGUAAAGCGUGCGCAGGCGGCUUUGCAAGACAGAUGUGAAAUCCCCGGGCUUAACCCUGGGAACUGCAUUUGUGACUGCAAGGCUGGAGUGCGGCAGAGGGGGAUGGAAUUCCGCGUGUAGCAGUGAAAUGCGUAGAUAUGCGGAGGAACACCGAUGGCGAAGGCAAUCCCCUGGCCUGCACUGACGCUCAUGCACGAAAGCGUGGGGAGCGAAACAAGGAUUGA
rnacentral:rRNA from 1 species